CGCGGCCCAGGUCGGCCUCAGGGAGCGGACACCCCGAGCGGGGGGUGCGGGCGCCGCCGCCGCCGCCGCCGCUUCUGCUGCUGCUGUUCCUGCUGCUGCUGCUGUUGGUGCCGCUGCCGCCGCCGGCGAGCGGGCGGGACCGGUGUGAGUGCGAGUGUGUGUGCGAGGGAGCGUGUGCGAGGGCGAGUGUGCGCGCGAGUGUGCGGGUGUGUGCGAGUGUCUGUCUGUGCGGGGACUCGGGGGCGGGCGGUUCGGGCUCUCCUGGCGGAGGAGCCGCCGCCGCCGCCCGGGCCCCGGCGCUUCUCGCUGCGCAGGUUCGGAGCGCGCGCCAUUUUGUGAGAUUUACAAAAUCCUCCUCGGGAAGAAGCCGCCGGCAGCAGCCGCCGCUCGGCGCCCGGCCUCGCCGACGCCGCCCUCUGCGCCGGGCCGGGCCGCGCGGCCCCGCCGCCGGGAAUCGGGGCCCGGGGACUGCGGUAUUUGCCGGGGAGGGGCCUGUCGCCUCCCCGGCCCCGGGCGCCGCUGGAACCGCGAGCCGAGGAGAGACUGAGCAGGCUGCGGCGCGGCCGGGAGCCGGAGCGCCGGGGGCGGAGAGAGGCUGCCGGGGCGGCGCUGGCUGCGGAGGCCGCGGCGGGAGCGCGGCGCGGGAGCCCGAGGCUGAGACUCACCGGAGGAAGCGGCGCGAGCGCCCCGCCAUCGUCCCGGAGGAGAGACUUCAGCAUGCAAACCUUCAUCUGUUCGGCUUGCACCGUCAUUUUCAUUCCAUGCUGCUGGCCUUCAGAUGGCUGGACAGAUGCCCCAUUCACAUCAGUACAGUGACCGUCGCCAGCCAAACAUAAGUGACCAACAGGUUUCUGCCUUAUCAUAUUCUGACCAGAUUCAACAACCUCUAACUAACCAGAGGCGGAUGCCCCAAACCUUCCGUGACCCAGCAACUGCUCCCCUGAGAAAACUUUCUGUUGACUUGAUCAAAACAUACAAGCAUAUUAAUGAGGUUUACUAUGCAAAAAAGAAGCGAAGACACCAACAGGGCCAGGGAGACGAUUCUAGUCAUAAGAAGGAACGGAAGGUUUACAAUGAUGGUUAUGAUGAUGAUAACUAUGAUUAUAUUGUAAAAAACGGAGAAAAGUGGAUGGAUCGUUACGAAAUUGACUCCUUGAUAGGCAAAGGUUCCUUUGGACAGGUUGUAAAGGCGUAU
rnacentral:sRNA from 1 species